GAUGAACGCUGGCGGCGUGCCUAAUACAUGCCAGUCGAGCGAACGGACGAGAAGCUUGCUUCUCUGAUGUUAGCGGCGGACGGGUGAGUAACACGUGGAUAACCUACCUAUAAGACUGGGAUAACUUCGGGAAACCGGAGCUAAUACCGGAUAAUAUUUUGAACCGCAUGGUUCAAAAGUGAAAGACGGUCUUGCUGUCACUUAUAGAUGGAUCCGCGCUGCAUUAGCUAGUUGGUAAGGUAACGGCUUACCAAGGCAACGAUGCAUAGCCGACCUGAGGGUGAUCGGCCACACUGGAACUGAGACACGGUCCAGACUCCUACGGGAGGCAGCAGUAGGGAAUCUUCCGCAAUGGGCGAAAGCCUGACGGAGCAACGCCGCGUGAGUGAUGAAGGUCUUCGGAUCGUAAAACUCUGUUAUUAGGGAAGAACAUAUGUGUAAGUAACUGUGCACAUCUUGACGGUACCUAAUCAGAAAGCCACGGCUAACUACGUG
rnacentral:rRNA from 1 species